rnacentral:rRNA from 1 species
GAUGAACGCUGGCGGCGUGCUUAACACAUGCAAGUCGAACGAAGCAUUUAAAGCGGAUUUCUUCGGAUUGAAGCUUUUUAUGACUGAGUGGCGGACGGGUGAGUAACGCGUGGGUAACCUGCCUCACACAGGGGGAUAGCAGCUGGAAACGGCUGGUAAUACCGCAUAAGCGCACGGUACCGCAUGGUACAGUGUGAAAAACUCCGGUGGUGUGAGAUGGACCCGCGUCUGAUUAGGUAGUUGGUGAGGUAACGGCUCACCAAGCCGACGAUCAGUAUCCGACCUGAGAGGGUGACCGGCCACAUUGGGACUGAGACACGGCCCAG